rnacentral:rRNA from 1 species
GACGAACCUGACAAACGUUAUUCGGAAUUACUGGGCUUAGAGGGUGCGUAGGCGGCGCGACAAGUUGGGUGUGAAAUCCCUCGGCUCAACCGAGGAACUGCGCUCAAUACUGUCGUGCUCGAGGGAGACAGAGGUGAGCGGAACUUAGGGUGGAGCGGUGAAAUGCGUUGAUAUCCUAAGGAACACCGGUAGCGAAAGCGGCUCACUGGGUCUUUUCUGACGCUGAGGCACGAAAGCUAGGGUAGCGAACGGG